GUCAAACCGAACCGAGUAAAUUUCAGCAGCGCAAGGGCACAUGCGCCGCAUAAAUUUUAACUUUUAAUUGAUUUGCAAUGUAAAGAACUUAGUAAAUUGCAUCCGUAAAUAACCGAAACUAUAUUAUAUAAGAAGGAAAAUGUAUACCGAGUACACAAUAAGUUGUACAUAGCCUACAAUGUAAAAAUUCUACCGUUGAGGGGGGAGAAUGUAACGAAGUCGUUACAACAACGGCCACACACCUACCCGCAUCUCCGAGCCAACAACAAGAACGCCGCGGGGUGGGGCACCGCACAGACCACUCCGGGUGACCAGAGGGGAAGCGGGACGGCACGGCCGCCGCACCUAUAAAGCACCGCAAGACCGCCGCUCCGGCACCAUUCGUCAACUCCAGCUCCGGCGUCUGAUCAGCUCCCAUCCCGUGCUUCCUUCCCACUCACCCUUAUUGUAUUUAUGUAUCUAUAGCCUGCGUCGCGACGAUCUAGUCUCGAUAGGCGCAGCUUGGUUACCCCCUCGUUGUGACUGAGGCUUCGAGCGCGGCGCGGCUGCCAUUAUUAGCCCGAGAUCCUGUACCCUUUAUCCUUUCCUACUAUUUGCUAUAAAUCCGCGUUUGCCCCUUCAGGGCCCUGUUUAAAUAGUUAGAUACUUAAUAGAUAUCCUUAUUUGUGCAUUUGUGUGGUGAAUAUAUAGUUACAAGCUGUAAGUACUAGACAUAUAAGUUAUUAUUGUAAAUAAAGCGGAGCCAGUCCCGCCUAAUUGUUGUAUAUUGUAA